rnacentral:ncRNA from 1 species
CAAAAGGCAAAAUUGUUGAAAGACAAUGACGCAAAGCCACGGGCCUAAGGAGGAUUCUCUAAGGUGGCCGGGUUGCUA